rnacentral:lncRNA from 1 species
CCAGGCUGGUCUUCAGCUCCUGAUCUCAGGUGAUCCACCCGCUUCAGCCUCCCAAAUUGCUGGGAUUACAGGCUUGUUUGGACUGAGUUCCAGAUCUGGGCUGUCAUGGAACAUAACAGGGACCCUUCAUGGGGACAGCAAGAAGGUUCACCGACCCAAUUCAGAGGAAGGAAGAGCCUGGCCUUCAAAAUUACUAUGACCAUCAGAAUGCCCUAGGAGAUCAAAGAAAUAACGGAGUGGGUGUGAGACCUUUUACAAAUGUGUGCACUCAAGCAGUGCAAAGGCAAACCUCCUGGCCCAGCUUACAGAAGGCAUUGUGACAGAUCUCUGGGCUCAUUACCUAGGAGAUGUGACUCUACACUGCCGGUUGGGCCGAGCCCCACUGAAGAUUGUGACAUAUUACUGAGCCCAUAAACUAGAAGGCGUUGUAACAUCUCACUAAGCCCAGCACUCAGGCGAUGUGGCUUUCCUGCUAUGGCACUGCACACAAGAAGAAUGUUGACAUAUUCCUGGCCCAGAAUUCAGGUGGUUUGGUGACUCUCAAACCAUGAUUCAGCAGACCUGUGAGGCUGUGAGUUCCCUAUCAGAACACAAUCUGCAGGUUGUAUUGUGCCAUAUACCUGGGACCAAAUUACAAGCACAAUGAUGAAUCUUUUACCUGGAGUCAAGACAUGGGCAGGAUGAUGGAACUUAUCACUGGACCUUUCCACAGUGUUAUUGUGACAUAUGCCUUUGCCCAACAUGUGGUGAUUUGACUCCCCAGACUGGGUCCAGUUCACAAAUAAAAUUGUGCCGUAUACUUGGCCAAGAACCUAA